GCCAGAUCCGUGACUUCCGCGUAACCUGCGGAACUUUAGGUGGAGACCGAAAAGGCAGUGGCGGCGGCGGUGGCUCUUCCCACCUGCGCAGCUGCUUUUGUUUGUAUAAAUCCUCUAAAGCUCCGUGUCUGCUGGAACAUGGUCCAAGAAUGAAAUCCUGUGAGAAUUCUGGGUGCUUAGGAGAAAACUCUAAGACAAGACCAGAAUCUCAUGACCUUAUAGGGGAAUUUUAAUCCAACACCAUGGGUGCUCUGACAAGGGAUCACAUCCAAAGAUCUUCUAAGCCCACAGGAACUGGGCAGAAUACAGAAAAACCCUGGAAUACAGUAUGGUCUGGCUGGAAUACAGACACACCCUUAGUACACACCUCUAAUCCCUAACAUGAAGAUAAGGCAAGUUUGUAGAAGGAAGCAGCCUUGUUUGAAAGUGAUGUCUAAUUAAGGGACAAUGUGACGAACCAGAGAAAGAUUUGACAGAAUGAGUCAGAGAUAGGAUACAUCCAACUCACAGAACAGCAGAGGAAAGAGGCUACGAGAGAGAGAGAGACAGAGACACAGAGACUGAGACAGGGAGACAGGUGUGUGUGGAGAUUUUACCAGGAUGGUUUUACAGAAACAGGUUAGACACAAGUGAUGACAGAAGGAGCCAGAGAAUGAGAAGGAGCCAGAAGAUUAGAACAUGUUGCCAAAGUGAAGUAUAAAGCCAAGCAGAGCAAUUCAGUCAGAAACCAAGAGAAGACUGAAUCAGUCAGCUUGGAAGAUUAGAUUGUACGCAGAGGCUUGAAGCUUCCUAGCCUAGGCCUAGGGAUAGAACAGGCAAACACUCUGGGCUCAGCCCAAGCCCU
rnacentral:lncRNA from 1 species